rnacentral:rRNA from 1 species
GACGAACGCUGGCGGCGUGCUUAACACAUGCAAGUCGAGCGGGAAACUUCGGUUUCCAGCGGCGGACGGGUGAGUAACACGUGGGCAACCUGCCUCACAAUGAGGGAUAGCCUUCCGAAAGGAAGAUUAAUACCUCAUAACACAAGAGAAACGCAUGUUUCUUUUGCCAAAGAAUUUCGUUGUGAGAUGGGCCCGCGGCGCAUUAGCUUGUUGGUGAGGUAACGGCACACCAAGGCUUCGAUGCGUAGCCGACCUGAGAGGGUGAUCGGCCACAUUGGAACUGAGACACGGUCCAGACUCCUACGGGAGGCAGCAGUGGGGAAAUUUGCACAAUGGAGGAAACUCUGAUGCAGCAACGCCGCGUGAGUGAUGAAGGUCUUCGGAUUGUAAAGCUCUGUCUUCUGGGACGAUAAUGACGGUACCAGAGGAGGAAGCCAUGGCUAACUACGUGCCAGCAGCCGCCGUAA